rnacentral:rRNA from 1 species
AUUGAACGCUGGCGGCAGGCCUAACACAUGCAAGUCGAGCGGUAGAGAGGUGCUUGCACCUCUUGAGAGCGGCGGACGGGUGAGUAAUGCCUAGGAAUCUGCCUGGUAGUGGGGGAUAACGUCCGGAAACGGACGCUAAUACCGCAUACGUCCUACGGGAGAAAGCAGGGGACCUUCGGGCCUUGCGCUAUCAGAUGAGCCUAGGUCGGAUUAGCUAGUUGGUGAGGUAAUGGCUCACCAAGGCGACGAUCCGUAACUGGUCUGAGAGGAUGAUCAGUCACACUGGAACUGAGACACGGUCCAGACUCCUACGGGAGGCAGCAGUGGGGAAUAUUGGACAAUGGGCGAAAGCCUGAUCCAGCCAUGCCGCGUGUGUGAAGAAGGUCUUCGGAUUGUAAAGCACUUUAAGUUGGGAGGAAGGGUACUUACCUAAUACGUGAGUAUUUUGACGUUACCGACAGAAUAAGCACCGGCUAACUCUGUGCCAGCCGCCGCGGUAAUAC